UCGACUACUCAAAAUCCAUUGCAGCCUGAUCAUCCCUGGUCAACCCUUCUCAAGGUUUCUUUUUUCCCCAAAUGCAUUUAGCGUUUUUUCUUGCCCGAAUGGGGGUUCAGAUCAGGGGAUGUCGUCCAUCAUCUAUUGUUGCCUAUUGUUGCCUGAGAGGUUUUGUGAUUAAGAGCUAUAUAAAUAAACUUGACUUGACAAAGAAGAGAAACUGUUAGUGACUGAAUAACACAACACUUAAAGAUAAUAAACCGUUUCCAAGCGGUAACAACACAAAGCAGCAUGCUGAGUUAAUACCGCACAAGAAGCAUUUAGUCACAUUUGAGCGGAACCACGCUGAGACUUGAAUGAAGCAAACCGUUGACUUGUGCGUGACAUACCAAAGAAGCAGUAGAUGAUUCCAAAGAGGCAACUCAUAGAGCAGACCACCGAGGGCACAAUCUCAUAUCUCCUUUCAAUCUCCUGGUCACAUUUCAGCCCCAGCUCAGCCAGACCCAGAAGGCGGCCGGUGGAGGCCAUGUCCACCGACGCGAGGGGAGCCAGCUUUUAGCAGAGGAGUCUGACGAUGGAGGACGGUGGGGUUGAUAAAUGGGCCUCACCUGUUGAGAUGUGGCAACCUGUAAGAAUGCGCAGAAGAAAGCGAGAUUUUUAUCACCAAUCUUGAACUCAACCCUGGCAUCUCCAGAGUACCGGAGUAUACACACCCUCACCCAGGCAGGUCGAAGUGCUAGCAUGCAGUAUUGAGAAUGUAAACAAAGGUUUCUUCCACGUAUCCAGGUCCAGGUUGCUGGGGCAACAGUUAAGACUUUGCCGUCUCCAUCCAACUCUUCCAGGGUCCCACGCCAGUUGUGAGAUACAAUCCUUCCAGCGUGUACUAGGUCUGCCCCAGGGCCCGGCUGCAUAUGCCUCGAACACCUCACCAGCUCCUCCUGACCGACUGAUCUUAGGGUGAGUCAAGCCACCUUAUGGAGGUAAGUCAUUUCGACCAUUUGUAUCCGCAAUCUCUUCCAUUCGGUCACGACCCAAAGCUCAUGACCUUAGGUGAGAGCGGGAAGAAAUAUCGACCGAUAAAUUGACCUUCCGGCUCAGCUCUCUUUUCAACAUGACCGUCUGGUCCAGCAAGCACAUUACUGCACACGGUGCGCCGUUCCGCCUGUCAAUCUCAAACUCCAGCCUUCCCUCACUAGUGAACAAGAAGAUACUUGAACUCCCAACCUGAAGGAUGCAAACCGCCCUUUUUCUGGCUGAGAACCUUGGACUGAGAUUUGGAGGUGCUGAGUCUCAUAUCAGGGGUGACAUCAGCAAAGAACACCUCACAUUCCUAUCUAUUGUGGACUGUUCAGAUAAUUAUGUUUAAAAAAAAAACUCUUCAUUUUUCAUGAUGUAAACAAAUAAUUGCAUAAAGCAUAAAGAGAAGGUGAACGGUCGUUGACUUUUUUCCCCCAGACUGAGCCAAACAAUGCUGCCUGAAGAAGACAGUCAACAGACUAAAUUAAUUGAUUCAUUAUUUCUUAUGCAGGGGAUUCUCACCAGAUAAAAACUAUAAAAAAUAUAUAUAUAGACAGAAAACCCACACUGAUGAAUCUUCCAACUUGGCGUGAUGUAGUAUUGUAAUUUACAAUUUCAAUCAUUUUCAAUAUGUAAAAAGGCCCAACUGCACUCCAUUAAAAAAAAAAUUAAUUGAAAAAGGACACGCUGACGUGUGUCUGACAAAAACACAUGGAUGAUAAUAAAUCUUCCUGUGAUCCCCAAACCCUGCCGGGUAGUGAUUGCAUCCGAAACGGAGAUGUUGCCAGUUUCACCAGACGUGUUCGCUAAUAUGGAGACUGGCCUGGCAACAAAGCAUCAUGAUAGCAAACAAAUGUGCACACAGGCCGCACUGCCAGAGGGAGCGUGCACACUGUGAGUCACUUCCAAUGUUGUCCUCAUUACAGACUGCUAUAUAUUUAGUAUGGACAGACAGCACUUACGGUAGUCUGACUUUGGAAGCAAAACACAGCCUUUAUAUUAACGGGAUUGAUCUCUUUCUCUCUUUGGUUCUCACCCACUUCUUACACUCGAUUCACACUGUCUGAACUACGUGCCUCUUGUCAAUUCACGUUAUUUCGUAUUCCGUCUUCGCACUCAUGCGUGUUUCGCUGCAAUAAUAGCCCUGCUGCAAACCAGAUUUGACAAAGACAUCUGUGUCGACAUUUUGUUGCUCAGUACUGAAUAAGAGUCUUUUUGGCUUAUGUUUUUCCACACUUACAUAACCCGUCAUCUCUGUAUUGUGAGUUGAGUAGAAACGCAGGCAGCCCAUUAAUUUGGUUUGAUUCAUCUUAAAAAGCUAAGAAACACAAAAUUCAUUCAAAACAGACUCAAGGUUGUCAGUCUGAAUGACCUGUCUACCGUACGUCCGAGUCAUAUUUGCUGCAACUGUACAAAUCUUGAGAACAGCUAAAUCCUUUUUUUCCAGAGGCUGAAAUGGAAAAUGCCAGAGGGAGAUAGAAUUUUUGACUUCUGGCCAAACUGUUCAUCAACUGAGCUUGUCACUUUGGCGAAGGUCUGAGGAAGACUGCUUGGCUGUUGAUUACAGUUAUAUAAGAGCACUGCACCAUAUGGGGCCUCACUCAAAUUGCUUUCAAUUGACUUUUAAAAGAUGGAUCUUUAAAUAAAAAUGUAUGGUGUACUUCCGAUUUCAAUCCCUGAACCGAGUUUUCAGUUUUCACAGCCUUGGUUUUUCAUCAUCGGCUUGUCGUUUUUUUGGUCAUAUUUGACCUCUAUUGGUUUGUUUCAUCAGUCAGUAUGAACAUGACAAUUCCGAUUUUUUUCAAAUGUCACACAGGCCUCUUUUGUAAAUCUAAUUGUACCCUUUGG